GUUUAAUUUUGUGAAAGAAGAAAAACAGGGGGAAAUGAAACAAAUGCAUCUGAUUAGGAUUUUUUCCCUUUUUUUGUUUUUUUUUAAUUUAAGUUUAUCUGAUUUAUCUCGACCUAAUGAGUUGUUAGAAUGUUGGUUUCCUUUUCU
rnacentral:lncRNA from 12 species